rnacentral:rRNA from 1 species
CCUACGGGCGGCAGCAGUGAGGAAUAUUGGUCAAUGGACGAGAGUCUGAACCAGCCAAGUAGCGUGAAGGAUGACUGCCCUAUGGGUUGUAAACUUCUUUUAUAUGGGAAUAAAAUGUUCCACGUGUGGGAUUUUGUAUGUACCAUAUUAAUAAGGAUCGGCUCACUCCGUGCCAGCAGCCGCGGUAAUACGGAGGAUCCGCGCGUUAUCCGGAUUUAUUGGGUUUACAGGGAGCGUAGGUGGAUUGUUAAGUCAGUUGUGAAAGUUUGCGGCUCAACCGUAAAAUUGCAGUUGAAACUGGCAGUCUGGAGUACAGGAGAGGUGGGCGGAAUUCGUGGUGUAGCGGUGAAAUGCUUAGAUAUCACGAAGAACUCCGAUUGCGAAGGCAGCUCACUGGACUGCAACUGACACUGAGGCUCGAAAGUGUGGGUAUCAAACAGGAUUAGAUACCCGAGUAGUC